AGAACGAACGCUGGCGGCAUGCCUAAUACAUGCAAGUCGAACGAACUCUUCGGAGUUAGUGGCGCACGGGUGCGUAACGCGUGGGAAUCUGCCCUUGGGUUCGGAAUAACAGUUGGAAACGACUGCUAAUACCGGAUGAUGACGAAAGUCCAAAGAUUUAUCGCCCAGGGAUGAGCCCGCGUAGGAUUAGCUAGUUGGUGAGGUAAAGCUCACCAAGGCGACGAUCCUUAGCUGGUCUGAGAGGAUGAUCAGCCACACUGGGACCUGAGACACGGCCCAGACCUCCGUACGGGAGGCAGCGAGUAGGGAAUAGUUAGGACAAGGUGGGACGAAAGCCUGACUCCAGCAA
rnacentral:rRNA from 1 species